rnacentral:tRNA from 1 species
CGUUUGAUGGCCGAACUGGUGAAGGCAUCGCCGAUAACAGGUGAGGAUGCGGGUUCGAGUCCCGCUGGAACGG